GGGGGUGUGACUUUUGUUGUCUCAGGUACAACUUGCAGGCCCCAAUGAACCAAGGGAACCCUCCACCAUAUCCGGGCCCUGGUCCAUCGGCCCCAUAUCCACCAUAUCCACAGCAACCCAUGGGGCCUGAGGUCUACCCUCCAGGACCUAUGGGGGGACCUUACCCACCUCCUCAAGGAUACCCCUACCAAGGAUACCCACAGUAUGGAUGGCAGGGUGGACCUCAGGAGCCUCCUAAAACCACAGUCUAUGUGGUGGAAGACCAAAGAAGGGAUGACAUGGGCUCCUCCACCUGUCUCACUGCCUGCUGGACUGCUCUCUGUUGCUGCUGCCUCUGGGAUAUGCUCACCUGACAAGCCCAGCCCCUCCGGUCCUGCCAGUGCUGCCACGGCCUGACGAGUGUGCCUGUCCCGUCUCUUCCGAUUGCUGUAACGACUAGCUCUGCCCAGGCACCUCUGCUUUCAAAUCGACGAGAUUCUAGAUUGGGGGGGUUGCUGCUGUUUAAUUCAGUGACUUGAUCUUUUUACUGCUCAGAAUCUGGUUCUUAUUGGUCUUUAACGAAUGUGCUAAAUGACUCUUCUGUUUGUUUUAGCCAAAGGCUUCUGAAAUAUGUAUGUUUAUAAUUUUAAAAUUAUACAAAGUACUGGCCCCAUGUAACACACCACUGAAUAAUUUCUCUGCUAGCACCUGUAUGUUUCAAUAAAUCUGUUCAAACCUCAA